UACGUAGGGCGCAAGCGUUGUCCGGAAUUAUUGGGCGUAAAGAGCUCGUAGGCGGCUUGUCACGUCGGGUGUGAAAGCCCGGGACUUAACCCCGGGUCUGCAUUCGAUACGGGCUAGCUAGAGUGUGGUAGGGGAGAUCGGAAUUCCUGGUGUAGCGGUGAAAUGCGCAGAUAUCAGGAGGAACACCGGUGGCGAAGGCGGCAUCCUGGACCGAUACUGACGCUGAGGAGCGAAAGCCAGGGGAGCAAACGGG
rnacentral:rRNA from 1 species